rnacentral:rRNA from 1 species
AUUGAACGCUGGCGGCAUGCCUUACACAUGCAAGUCGAACGGCAGCACGGGGGCAACCCUGGUGGCGAGUGGCGAACGGGUGAGUAACAUAUCGGAACGUGCCCUGGAGUGGGGGAUAACUAGUCGAAAGAUUAGCUAAUACCGCAUACGAUCUACGGAUGAAAGUGGGGGAUCGCAAGACCUCAUGCUCGUGGAGCGGCCGAUAUCUGAUUAGCUAGUUGGUGGGGUAAAGGCCUACCAAGGCAUCGAUCAGUAGCUGGUCUGAGAGGACGACCAGCCACACUGGGACUGAGACACGGCCCAGACUCCUACGGGAGGCAGCAGUGGGGAAUUUUGGACAAUGGGCGCAAGCCUGAUCCAGCAAUGCCGCGUGAGUGAAGAAGGCCUUCGGGUUGUAAAGCUCUUUUGUCAGGGAAGAAACGGUGAGGGCUAAUAUCCUUUGCUAAUGACCGUACCUGAAGACUCUGCCCCGGCCUACUACGUGCCAGCAGCCGCGGUAAUACGUAGGGUGCAGCGUUAAUUCGGAAUUACUGGGCGUAAAGCGUGCGCAGGCGGUUGUGCAAGACCGAUGUGAAGUCCCCGGGCUUAACCUGGAAAUGGCAUUGGUGACUGCACGGCUAGAGUGUGUCAGAGGGGGGUAGAAUUCCACGUGUAGCAGUGAAAUGCGUAGAGAUGUGGAGGAAUACCGAUGGCGAAGGCAGCCCCCUGGGAUAACACUGACGCUCAUGCACGAAAGCGUGGGGAGCAAACAGGAUUAGAUACCCUGGUAGUCCACGCCCUAAACGAUGUCAACUAGUUGUCGGGUCUUAAUUGACUUGGUAACGCAGCUAACGCGUGAAGUUGACCGCCUGGGGAGUACGGUCGCAAGAUUAAAACUCAAAGGAAUUGACGGGGACCCGCACAAGCGGUGGAUGAUGUGGAUUAAUUCGAUGCAACGCGAAAAACCUUACCUACCCUUGACAUGGCAGGAAUCCCGGAGAGAUUCGGGAGUGCUCGAAAGAGAACCUGCACACAGGUGCUGCAUGGCUGUCGUCAGCUCGUGUCGUGAGAUGUUGGGUUAAGUCCCGCAACGAGCGCAACCCUUGUCAUUAGUUGCUACGAAAGGGCACUCUAAUGAGACUGCCGGUGACAAACCGGAGGAAGGUGGGGAUGACGUCAAGUCCUCAUGGCCCUUAUGGGUAGGGCUUCACACGUCAUACAAUGGUACAUACAGAGGGCCGCCAACCCGCGAGGGGGAGCUAAUCCCAGAAAGUGUAUCGUAGUCCGGAUUGCAGUCUGCAACUCGACUGCAUGAAGUUGGAAUCGCUAGUAAUCGCGGAUCAGCAUGUCGCGGUGAAUACGUUCCCGGGUCU